rnacentral:piRNA from 1 species
GAUGUGUUAGACCAAAUGGGGAC